GCUCCAUAAGACACGCUUUUUUCCUCCUAAAAAGUAAGGGGAAAUGUCUGUGCGUCUUAUGGAGUGAAUGCAUGGUCCCUGGAACCAAAUUGCCCAGGGGCAAAAAGCAAAUCGUGUUGGUUUUUUUUAGAAAGAGAGAAGGGGGUGUUGAAGCAAAGCUGCUGAGCAGCUGAUUGGCAAGCGAUCAGGAGGGAGAUAAGGGACUCUAGCGAUAAAGGAGGCUGCCUGGGAGGGGGGAGGUAAAAGCCCAUGGAUCCUCAGGAUUUUUGCAUUGGGUCACCCCAAAUUCACCAUCAGAUCACAUAGCAUGUCCAUGGCUACA